GAAAUAAAAAGGGGGACUUUCUGGUGAAUGCUAGGAAGUUGCAGUUAGAGUUGCACUACCCUCUAGUUUUGAUCUUAAAGAGCGAUCGGGAAUAGUAUAUAGAGAUGAAGGGAGGAUUGUUUGAGGACAGGAAGUUCGGAAUAAUGUGACAAGAAGAGGCUUAAAGGAAUAAAUCGAGACAAAUCAAUGCCAAAAAGUACAAAAAGGGGAGUUUCGAAGGAAGUGAAAAAUCAAGCUACAUGAGGUCUGACACGACCACCUGUGUCACCUGAAACUGGCCGUGUUAGGAUGAAGCGUGGCAAAGAAAAUGCCAAAGAGAUGAAAGUCACGGGGCUGACACGGCUCGUGUUAGCAAGUGUGAGAUCUAGAAAUUUUCAGCAUGUUUCUCAUCGUGAUAUGCGUGUAGUAUUUUGAUCAUAACUAGAGCUUCGUAACUCGGAAUGACGCGGUUCCGGUGGCAACAUUUUGCUAACGAAAAGGGCUACAACUUUGAUGAAGAACACAAAGCCAAAUUCUGAAGUUAAGAUCUUACACGGACCGUGUUAAUUAACACGGCCACCCGUGUUGAUU